ensembl:rRNA 5S_rRNA 5S ribosomal RNA
GUCUGUGGCCAUGCCACCCCGAACAUGCCCGAUCCCGUCUGAUCUCGGAAGCCAAGCAGGGUUGGGCGUGGUGAGUACUUGGAUGGGAGACCACCUAGGAAGACCAGGUGCUGUGGGCG